rnacentral:RNase_P_RNA from 1 species
UGAGUCGGCCGGGUGGCCGCGGCACGCACAUGUGUGUCGAGGAAAGUCGGGACUCCGCAGGGCAGGGUGCUGGCGAGAGCCAGGUCGGGGCGACCUGACGGAUCAGUGCAACAGAGAGAGUCCGCCGAUGGGCCCGGGUGACCGGGCCACAGGCAAGGGUGAAACGGUGCGGUAAGAGCGCACCAGCGCCCGGGGUGACCCGGACGGCUGGCAAACCCCACCCGGAGCAAGGCCGAGCAGAGGGCACGGACGGCCCGUUCGCCCUUCGGGGCACCCUCGGGUAGGCCGCGUAGAUGGAUGGUCACCAGCUCGCCGAGGCGAGCCACAGGAUCCCGCUUACAGGCCGGCUCACCGU